rnacentral:rRNA from 1 species
AUUGAACGCUGGCGGCAUGCUUUACACAUGCAAGUCGAACGGUAACAGGCCUUCGGGUGCUGACGAGUGGCGAACGGGUGAGUAAUGCAUCGGAACGUGCCCAGAGGUGGGGGAUAACGCAGCGAAAGCUGUGCUGAUACCGCAUGUGAUCUGAGGAUGAAAGCGGGGGACCAGGCAGCAAUGUUUGGCCUCGCGCCUUUGGAGCGGCCGAUGUCAGAUUAGGUAGUUGGUGGGGUAAAGGCCUACCAAGCCGACGAUCUGUAGCUGGUCUGAGAGGACGACCAGCCACACUGGGACUGAGACACGGCCCAGACUCCUACGGGAGGCAGCAGUGGGGAAUUUUGGACAAUGGGCGCAAGCCUGAUCCAGCAAUGCCGCGUGCGGGAAGAAGGCCUUCGGGUUGUAAACCGCUUUUGUACGGAACGAAAAGGCUCUGGCUAAUACCUGGGGCUGAUGACGGUACCGUAAGAAUAAGCACCGGCUAACUACGUG